rnacentral:rRNA from 1 species
AUGAACGCUAGCGACAGGCCUAACACAUGCAAGUCAGGGGCAGCACAAGGAGCAAUCUGAGGUGGCGACCGGCGCACGGGUGAGUAACACGUAUGCAACCUGCCUGUAAGCGGGGAAUAACCCGUUGAAAGACGGACUAAUACCGCAUAAUACUAAAUUACUGCAUGGUAAUUAUUUAAACAUUUAUGGCUUACAGAUGGGCAUGCGCAUGAUUAGCUAGUUGGAGAGGUAACGGCUCCCCAAGGCAACGAUCAUUAGGGGUUCUGAGAGGAAGGUCCCCCACACUGGUACUGAGACACGGACCAGACUCCUACGGGAGGCAGCAGUGAGGAAUAUUGGUCAAUGGACGAGAGUCUGAACCAGCCAAGUCGCGUGCAGGAAGAAUGUCCUUAAUGGAUUGUAAACUGCUUUUGCAGGGGAAUAAAGUGCAUCACGUGUGAUGUUUUGUAUGUACUCUGCGAAUAAGGAUCGGCUAACUCCGUGCCAGCAGCCGC